ACCGACACAAUUGAAUGAACUCGAGGACGACGUCAUUGACACAUGAAGAAUUGCGUAUAUUUGGUGCAGCCUUCUAGAAAACAUCAAAACAACCCAGAGGGAUCCCCAUCUCGCCCGUGCCAAAUAGGCACUUUUAUCAAGCGCUUAAGGCCCUUCAACUUCAGCCGAUCCGCAAUAACCACACGAUGCCAUCUGACGAGCAGAAACAAAACAUUUUAUAGAGGAAAACUAUGCUUUCGCAACACGCAUUGGUUUUAAAUCAGUCAUAGAUGGGCCACUACGUUUAGUCAAACAUGUUUCUCUGUAAUGUAAGGAAAUUUCAAAAUUAUUUCAUCUCCCAGGACUUCAAAGUUCUAUUUAAAUGACGGAAACAACCAAAAAUCCUAGAUUUUAAAUACUAGUUUCGAACAAUAUUGCUUGCUUAUCUUUGUCCUCACUUGUAUCCUUAUUCACACAACAACUUCGGACCAGCAAAAUAUUGGGAAUUCCUAGCCUAGGUAUCGCUACAGAGGCUAAAAGUUCUUGGCACGGGCACUUAUUCAUUAGCAUCCGACCAGAGGUAAACAAUCGUAGCAGCCAAUCAGGCUUCCAAUGAUCUAGACUGCCAUGGCUUAGGUGAAGGGCCAAAGGUAUAGGUAAACUUAUCAACUAUGGUAUUACGGUGUCGAUAUGGUGUAAACAAUCACGUAGUUGCCUCUCGGUUUUUGUGUGUAAGAAACAAUGAGGGAGAACAUGAAGACUGACAGGAUCAUUCCCUAUCUGAUUCGAAUCACUUUUUUAAAAGCAGGCUCUUCUAGAUUGCCGUACUUCAUCCAUAAAUGUUACCUGUCCUCUGUAAGGAUAAUAAAUAUUAAUUUUUUU